rnacentral:rRNA from 1 species
UACGAAGGGGGCUAGCGUUGUUCGGAAUUACUGGGCGUAAAGGGCGCGUAGGCGGUUUGUCAAGUCAGGCGUGAAAGCCCCGGGCUCAACCUGGGAACCGCGCUUGAGACUGGCACGCUAGAGUUCGGGAGAGGAUGGUGGAAUUCCCAGUGUAGAGGUGAAAUUCGUAGAUAUUGGGAAGAACACCGAUGGCGAAGGCAGCCAUCUGGACCGACACUGACGCUGAGGCGCGAAAGCGUGGGGAGCAAACAGG